GAUCGGGGAACUUUCACAUUCCCAGGUCCUUUAUCGUAUUGUCUAUCACUGUGUCACCGACUACAGGAUUUCUGCAGGCACUCCUUCAGGAGAGGAAGAUUGCUCUUACUUGGGGCUGACCUUGGGAGUUUCACAAGUAUAUUCAGGCCUCGUUGAUGGGUCCUGAGGUAACACAAAGGACCAGGAGAGUUUGCAGCUGUCUGUUAGAAUGAACUCGUACCAAACACAUUUGCCACAGUGUGUUUUUCAGCUUCCUGUCAAGACAUCACGAUGAACCCAGCCAUGGGCAUUAGCGGGGACCUUUAUGGCAGGACACAGAUAGGAGAGGCUGGGGUCCUAAAGCACAGGACAGGUUAUCUCAUCUCCACAUAGCUAAGUUCUUGUCAGGAGAACACAGUGAACCUCACUGUGGUUGGUAACAGAUCCUUACUAGUAACCAGAUAUCCUCUUAAGA